rnacentral:rRNA from 1 species
GUGAGGAAUAUUGGUCAAUGGGCGGGAGCCUGAACCAGCCAAGUCGCGUGAAGGAAGAAGGAUCUAUGGUUCGUAAACUUCUUUUGCAGGGGAAUAAAGUACGGUACGUGUACCGUUUUGUAUGUACUCUGCGAAUAAGGAUCGGCUAACUCCGUGCCAGCAGCCGCGGUAAUACGGAGGAUCCAAGCGUUAUCCGGAUUUAUUGGGUUUAAAGGGUGCGCAGGCGGGUUGAUAAGUCAGCGGUGAAAGUUUGCAGCUUAACUGUAAAAUUGCCGUUGAAACUGUCGAUCUUGAGUGCAAAUGAGGUAAGCGGAAUGUGUUGUGUAGCGGUGAAAUGCUUAGAUAUAACACAGAACACCGAUUGCGAAGGCAGCUUACUGGGAUGCAACUGACGCUCAUGCACGAAAGCGUGGGGAUCAAACAGGAUUAGAAACCCGAGUAGUCC